GACGAACGCUGGCGGCGUGCUUAACACAUGCAAGUCGAACGGAAAGGCCCUGCUUUUGUGGGGUGCUCGAGUGGCGAACGGGUGAGUAACACGUGAGUAACCUGCCCUUGACUUUGGGAUAACUUCAGGAAACUGGGGCUAAUACCGGAUAGGAGCUCCUGCUGCAUGGUGGGGGUUGGAAAGUUUGGGCGGUUGGGGAUGGACUCGCGGCUUAUCAGCUUGUUGGUGGGGUAGUGGCUUACCAAGGCUUUGACGGGUAGCCGGCCUGAGAGGGUGACCGGCCACAUUGGGACUGAGGUACGGCCCAGACUCCUACGGGAGGCAGCAGUGGGGAAUAUUGCACAAUGGGCGGAAGCCUGAUGCAGCAACGCCGCGUGCGGGAUGACGGCCUUCGGGUUGUAAACCGCUUUCGCCUGUGACGAAGCGUGAGUGACGGUAAUGGGUAAAGAAGCACCGGCUAACUACGUG
rnacentral:rRNA from 1 species